UCUCCGUUGGUGAACCAGCGGAGGGAUCAUUACCAGAGUUUUAAAACUCCCAACCCUUCUGUUAACCGACCUAUUGCUGCUUCGGCGGACUCGCCCCAGCGUACGGACGGCCCCGGGCCGGCCAGCGACCUGGACCCAGGCGGCCGCCGGACACCACACAAUCCUCUAUCUAUCAGUCUCUCUGAAUCCGCCGCAACGCAAAGCAAACGAAUCAAAACUUUCAACAAUGGAUCUCUUGGUUCUG
rnacentral:misc_RNA from 1 species